GAUGAACGCUGGCGGCGUGCCUAAUACAUGCAAGUCGAGCGAACGGACGAGAAGCUUGCUUCUCUGAUAUUAGCGGCGGACGGGUGAGUAACACGUGGAUAACCUACCUAUAAGACUGGGAUAACUUCGGGAAACCGGAGCUAAUACCGGAUAAUAUUUUGAACCGCAUGGUUCAAAAGUGAAAGACGGUCUUGCUGUCACUUAUAGAUGGAUCCGCGCUGCAUUAGCUAGUUGGUAAGGUAACGGCUUACCAAGGCAACGAUGCAUAGCCGACCUGAGAGGGUGAUCGGCCACACUGGAACUGAGACACGGUCCAGACCCCUACGGGAGGCAGCAGUAGGGAAUCUUCCGCAAUGGGCGAAAGCCUGACGGAGCAACGCCGCGUGAGUGAUGAAGGUCUUCGGAUCGUAAAACUCUGUUAUUAGGGAAGAACAUAUGUGUAAGUAACUGUGCACAUCUUGACGGUACCUAAUCAGAAAGCCACGGCUAACUACGUG
rnacentral:rRNA from 1 species